GACGAACGCUGGCGGCGUGCUUAACACAUGCAAGUCGAACGGUGAAGGGGUCUGCUUUUGUGGGCCCUGGAUGAGUGGCGAACGGGUGAGUAACACGUGAGUAACCUGCCCCCUUCUUCUGGAUAACCGCAUGAAAGUGUGGCUAAUACGGGAUAUUCUGGGUCUGUCGCAUGAUGGGUCUGGGAAAGAUUGCGCCUUUGGGUGUUGGUGGUGGGGGAUGGGCUCGCGGCCUAUCAGCUUGUUGGUGGGGUGAUGGCCUACCAAGGCGGUGACGGGUAGCCGGCCUGAGAGGGUGGACGGUCACACUGGGACUGAGACACGGCCCAGACUCCUACGGGAGGCAGCAGUGGGGAAUAUUGCACAAUGGGCGCAAGCCUGAUGCAGCGACGCCGCGUGAGGGAUGGAGGCCUUCGGGUUGUAAACCUCUUUCGCCAGUGAAGCAGGCCUGCUCCUUGUGGGUGGGUUGACGGUAGCUGGAUAAGAAGCGCCGGCUAACUACGUG
rnacentral:rRNA from 1 species